UACGUAGGGUGCGAGCGUUAAUCGGAAUUACUGGGCGUAAAGCGUGCGCAGGCGGCUUUGCAAGACAGAUGUGAAAUCCCCGGGCUCAACCUGGGAACUGCAUUUGUGACUGCAAGGCUAGAGUACGGCAGAGGGGGAUGGAAUUCCGCGUGUAGCAGUGAAAUGCGUAGAUAUGCGGAGGAACACCAAUGGCGAAGGAAAUCCCCUGGGCCUGUACUGACGCUCAUGCACGAAAGCGUGGGGAGCAAACAGG
rnacentral:rRNA from 1 species